rnacentral:rRNA from 1 species
GACGAACGCUGGCGGCGUGCUUAACACAUGCAAGUCGAACGAUGAAGCCGGAGCUUGCUCUGGUGAAUUAGUGGCGAACGGGUGAGUAACACGUGAGUAACCUGCCCUUGACUCUGGGAUAACUGCUAGAAAUGGUAGCUAAUACCGGAUACGACCCUCGGAGGCAUCUCCAGGGGGUGGAAAGAAUUUCGGUCAAGGAUGGACUCGCGGCCUAUCAGCUAGUUGGUGAGGUAACGGCUCACCAAGGCGACGACGGGUAGCCGGUCUGAGAGGGUGACCGGCCACACUGGGACUGAGACACGGCCCAGACUCCUACGGGAGGCAGCAGUGGGGAAUAUUGCACAAUGGGCGAAAGCCUGAUGCAGCAACGCCGCGUGAGGGACGACGGCCUUCGGGUUGUAAACCUCUUUUAGCAGGGAAGAAGCGAAAGUGACGGUACCUGCAGAAAAAGCGCCGGCUAACUACGUGCCAGCAGCCGCGGUAA